GGAUCAUGAGACUUGAAUUUUUGGAGGUGCUUUAUAAGGUUUGUGGUAUUAAAGCUAGAAGGUUUAGUACCACCCCUCGGGACAUUUACUUUGCAUAUGUUGCAUGUAGCCGUGGAGCUUGCUGGCUUAGGUAAAGUGAAAUAGCUCCAGAUAGCAGAUCCUUUUGCUCGCUCCAUUUUGCAAUCACUGUAGGCUCCGCACGGCGUGUUGCUUGUUUGUGACGUCACUCACAGCGCACAGCAUAGAAACUGAAUAGAUCAGCCAAUAGAUAGAUAGAUACACUUUUAUCAAUCCCGUGAGAACAUUUUCGUGGGAAAUUCAAUUAUCAAAGCAGCAAGGUAGUAGGAAUAGGAUUCAAGUAUGUACAUAAACGUAAAAAAAAAAUAAAAAAAAAAA